rnacentral:lncRNA from 1 species
AUUAACUUCCUCCAAAGCAAAUUUACUGAUGAAACAUUGUUUUCUAGCUAUCUUUAACUUCUAGUACUUACCACAUUGUAAUACUUUUGUUUUAAUGUGAAUAUUUGUUUACCUCAUUAGAUAGUAAUGUUCAGUGUCUCACUUAUCUUUCUAGUGGCUUAUCUGGGACAGCUAACAAAUAAUGUAUAAAUAGAACUAUAGAAGAAAUGACUGUCUGCCAAAAUGUGUGCUUUCCCUUCCAUAUGGUUAAUUUGUUGCUCAGAGAGAGUUACCUAGCUAUGGACUACAUUUCCCAGCUCCUGUACAAUGCAGGGGACUAGUUCUCAGCAGUCAAAGUUUAGCAGAAGCAAUAUAACACUUCUAGAGCAGGGAUUUUAACAACUUGUUAUUUUCUCCUUUUGCUUUUGCCUUCCCCUUGCCGAAUACAGAGUAUUCCAAGGCACUGGAGAAAGAAGCAGCAAAAAUACAGAAGAAGUCUGUGUUCCUGAAGAACAAUGUGGAACUGAGCUACCUUUUCUGCCAGAAACACACUCAUUGGAAAAUGCAUAAAUCUAUGUCACACGGAAGACAAAGAAGGUAAUUUAAGCACAGCCUCAGAUUUUUCUGAAAUCUCCCUCAAAUUCUAGAGUCAAGAAAACAAGUUUGUAACAGGACUGCUACAGAGACAAUUUUGUUGUUGUUGUUAUCUUCCUCUCUGUCAGUAAACUAGACUUUUUCUUUGCUUGCUUAAGCAUACGUCUUAUAGUAGGUGUUCAAAAUACAUUUGUUCAGUAGAAGAAUUCUGAUCUUGAGGAAAAUGGCUGACAGUUCCAUGUACUUUUUAAAUGAUCUGUGAAUUUCACCUUAAAAAUAAUGAUCAUGGCUACAUCCUCUCAACUAUGAUCAGAAGCUAGUAACAACUCAGUAAAGAAUUUUAUGGUAUAUGUCUAUCUUCCUGGCACCAAAAUUAUUUUUUCUUUUAUUUUAUGGCUUAGAAUUAAUGAUAAGAUUGAUGAACAAAGCCUAAACAAUAAGUGAAAAUAUUAAUUAUAAAAGAGUCUGAGCAUGUUAAUUUUCAUGAAAAUUUGCCUGGUAUGAAUAAAGAGUAACAGCUUGUAAGUGAAGAAUAUAUAUCAUAUAUGUGUCCUUUGUAUUUAAUAUAUGUAAAUGAAAUGUCUAAUAAAUUACUGAUAACCACAGUGCUUCAAAAUAUCAGGAAAUUGUUUCCUCUUUGAGAUGUGAUCAUUCCUCCGUCUCUCCGGAUGCUAUUAGCUUUUCACUGCUCAGUCCAUGUGGUUCCCCUGGAAAGUUUUCGUACUAUACAAGUCCAUAGUAUUAUGUGUGUGGAAGUGGGUAUUUCCAUAGCCCUUAGUGACUAGAUAUUUGUUUCUAAUGGUUUUGUGGAAUUUAAGUUAUAUCUGAAAUCUUCUUUUGCAGAUAUAACUUAAAUUCCUCAAGAGUAUUGUGAAAUUCGCAUACUUCUUUAUAUCCCAUACAGGUGGGAGCAUAGACCUGAACACAAAGAAUCCUGAGAAAGUCUGUUCUGAAUGUUCCAGUCCAAUUUAUUUUCUGAUCUCUGUAUGACUCAACUCUGGGCCAUGCCAGUCUUAGACUCAGUCAAAUGCUGGAAAAGCUUCUUCUGGACUAAAGCACUUCAAUGACAUCUGUAAAAAAGAACUACAUUAGAAGACCUUUAUGUUCUGUAAACUGCAAUGAAAGCGGAAUUAUUUUCAACUUACUGUAUCUACUUUGAUGGUGGGUUGGAGUGUCACAUACCAUUUUAACCUAACACGGCAAUUUGUAUUCAGCACUGUGCUAAGUGUACUAGGGUCAGAGAAUACCUGAAAAUGCUAUUUUCAAGGAGUCUGCACCCUGGGGUGACAAUGCUACAAAGUGAAAAUAUGACAAACAAUAAAAAUAGUAAAAAUGCUCAAUUGUACAGUUUGGGAGAGCUACAGGCAUACUAGGCUAUAAGAGUCACAAAAAGGUUCAUAAGAAAAAAAAACAGACUGACUUAUAUCAUUAGGCACAGUUGCAGCAUAAUUUCCCUACUAUUGGCUUUUCUUGCCCCCACACCACCAUCUCAUCUUUAUUUUGCAUUGUCUACAUAAUUUAACAAAGUGAUAGACACAUAGGAGAUGCUCCAUGAGUGAUUGUAGCAUGGAUAGUGAUCAGGAGCACCUGAUGUAUGUGUCUAUUUGAGGGUUAAACAUUUUUCUACCAAUAAAAUAAUUGUGCAUUUUCUCAUAUCUCCAACAGUCAAUAAAAUGUAAUCAUAAUUAUGACUGUGUUCUCAAUCUGUGGUCUAACAGUGUUUGUGAUAUAUUCUACCAAUGCUCCUCCAAACUCAGAUGCAAUCUUAGUAAUAAACACUAUAAGUACCAAUGAUUAAUUAGGAAGAUUAAAGAAAUAUUAUCUCUUCAGAAAAAUUCUAUCUAAUUUCGGAUAGAAAUCCUCUUAAAAAUGCUAUUUCUCUUCAUGGAAAUAUUUCUCUACUUGGAAGAUUCUAAUUAACAUUAACAAACAGACUCUGUAUCACUUUGUUAUGAUGAAAACAGGGCAAAAAUACAUUUUUUUCUUUUUUACAGAAAAGGGAUGGGCGUGCUUUCCUUGUUGUUACCAUGAUGGAAAUGUGUCUGGUAUUCCUGUUUGUGUGCUAAGCUUAACAUAUUUCAAUGUUAUCUGGAAUUGGGUGAUCCUUCAACACUGUGUGAUAAGCCCAUUCUGUUUGUGCAUGUAAGCAUGUUAAAGAAAUGACUAAUAUAAAUCAAUGGAGAAUGAAUUAAACAAUAACAUAGCAGGUAAGCUAGUCAUUUAAAUUCCCUAGAAUAGUUCCCAGUGAAUUGUCCAUCAUUCACUGUUCUUUGCAGUUUAAGUGAAAUAUUACAGUAAGCAUCUUCUUUUCAAAGAAUAUCAAUUUUCCUUUACAAACAUAUUUUAUUUUAAGAAGAGCAAUAGUUUGUGAUAUAUGAAUAAUAAAAAUACCACUAUCAUAUCCACUUUGUCUUCUGUUCUUCUACAUAUGAAUAUGAGAAUAAUUUGCGUGAAAAUAAGAGGAGACUAAAAUUAUUAUGCAUCAAUUUUCUAAGAGCACUAUUUGGUUUUCAGAUUUAGAUUUAAUAGCAGUAAGCAGAGAGUGUAGGUAAAAACAAAUAUGCAAUUUUCUACACUUCUUGUCUUAGUACAUUCCUGCUGCUAUAACAAAAUACCUUAAGAUGGUUAACUUAUAAACCAUAUAUAUUCAUUGCUCACAAUUAUGGAGUCUGGGAAGUCCAAGAUCAAGCUGCUGACAGGUUCAGUGUCUGAUUAGGGUGGGUUGUCUGUUUUCAGAUGGUGCUUUGAACACUGUGUUCAGAGGAGAGGAGUGCUGUGUCCCCACAUGUCAGAAGGGAAAAUAUCCUAGCUAGUUUUCUCCAGUUCUUUUAUAAGUUUACUAAUUUGAUUCAUAAAAGCUCCACACUCAUGACUUAAUCACUUCCUAAAGUCUUCAACUCUUAAGACUUUCACAUUGGCAAUAUAGUUUCAACACAUGAAUUUUGAGAGGCAUGUUCGUAUCACAGCACCUCUUUAGCACAAAGCUAUUCUAUUCUUGAAUUUGGUUGCUUCAUGUUACCAAGAUUUCAAAACUUUACUUGUUUAAUUGAUGUUUGAAAUACUCCUUUUGCAAAAGUUUGUUUUGAAAGAAUAGGGAUUUGGGCUCUUCUAAACAGAGUUUUCAAGGUUGCCCACAUACCGAAAUUGUUCAGUUUGAGAAGGAAAUUUCUGAUCAGGAGUUCACCAGUUUUGCUCUAAUAUCACCUUUUCUGAUAUUUCUAGGAAUUGGGUUUCAUGGCUUGACAAUACUAAACAAAACUGACAUAAAAAUUGGAAAUGAGAAGGUCACAGUUUGUAACGCACUCUUCCAUACAGUGUUGGACUUGCUUCCUUUCGUUAUUUGUGUAGUUUUUCCUGCUAUAACCUUCAGAGCUCCAACCAGUUGAACUUUCAACUUGUGCUGUUAUUUUUUAGAAGAAUUGUGUGGAGAUUUUUUUCUUAUACUAGAAGGCCAAGGAGUUUAUUUUCUUUAUAGUAUUUUUUAAAACUUUUUUUGUUGUUGUUGUUACAGACUGGGUAGAGGCAUUCCACUGAGCAGUUAAAAGUUUAGACAAAAGUUAGCCAUCAAUGACAAAGUUUCUUGUAGAUUUUUUAUUCUAUUCUGUCUAUCGUUCACCAGAAAAUAGCUUUGUAAGUUUUCACUCCAGCUAUUAAAAUGGAAAUUUACACAUUUCCUAGGACAAGCAACAAUAAUAACUAAUAUUCACAUAUAUAUGUGUGUGUGUGUGAAGUUUACGAAUUCUUUCAUAAUCUGUAUUUUAUACAAAAAUAUAAUUACCACAGAAAUUUUGCUGCAAUAGUUAUUAUUACAAUCCUCAUUUUCAUAUGAGCAUGCUAAAACUCAAAGGAAAACCUGACCAAGUUCACAAACUGAUAAAUGAAAGAGCCAGGAAUAAAUCCAGACUUUUUAUAUUCCAAGUUUUCAAGUCUUUCCACUCCAACCAUAAGCCUUUCAUGAAGUCAACUUAUCCUUGCGAAAUGACUUUCUUACAAUGUAUUACACUUGAGUUGGUAUUUUAGCACUUUUUAGCACUGUUAGUAUCAGUGAAUAUGUGCUAAGUUGUAUCCACAGUCUGUAACACACACACACACACACACAUACACACACACACACACACAUAAUUAUUAACUACGGACCCUUUAAAUGCAGUUACAAGUACAACUACAAAAACACUUGUUUUAAGAGUAGCAGUCUUCAUUACAGAAAAGAGAGCCCUCAAUCAUUAAGAUACUAAAUGUCAUGUUUUACUAUGUAACACUUUCAUAUCAAAACAUUCCUGAUCAUAACCCAAUAAAACUCAGGGCAUCUUCCUCUGAAUUAUUCAGUCUUUACUGAUUUUUUGGCUCUGAAUUAAAGGAUAAAGCAUAAUUCAGCAACUAAUUAGAUGUGUACUUCUAUUUCUCUCUUAUGCUUCAUAAGUUUUUCAUCUUUCUGGCUAGAUUAUAAGUACCUUGAAAGAAGAGAUUGCCACAAACUCCUUUUUAUGUUCUAAAGAUUAUUUAGUAUAGGUCAUGGUGCAUAUUAGUAUCUAAGUAAAUAUGUAUAAUUUAUCAUAUCACAAAAUAAAGUAUUUUAAUGAUCUUUUGUCAGUUAUUAUAAACAGAUGAUAAAGUAUGGUUUUAAGUCACUCCCCUUGAUUGCUAGUUGUCUGUAAUUUAAUCUACAGCCAACCAUAUUCUCUAGACAUACAUGGUCCAUCACACCAUAAAACAUCUUGUACCAAAAAUCUACUAACAGGGAACUAUAACUUAAUACAAACUAGUUUCUUUUACUUACAUGAGAAAUCAGUCUUAUAAUGAAAAUCCACUCCUGAUAUAUCUUAGACAUGUUGUGGAGCACAUAGGGACUACAGUUUCAUUUGAAAGUUUGCAAGUGGCUACAUUCAAAGGGAAUAAUGCUGGUAAAGGGAGUCUGCUUUUCCUUCAUUGUUGAAUGCCCUGAUGAAUCAAUUAGGAUAUUUUUGUUGCAAGUGAUAGAAUGCACAAUUAAAACUGCUUUAAUAUAUGUAUUGAUUUGUCUAUAUUUCUAAAAAGUCCAGAAGUAGAGCUAGUUUCACAUAUGGUUACUCCAUUUCCCACAACUAUCUCUGCUCUACUCUAACAAUAGAAUUUAUUCUCAAGCAGACUUUGGUCAUGACAGCAAAAUUAUUGUACAUUUUCAGGCAUGACAAAUGUACAACAUGAUAUUCUCCCACCAAAUAGAAUGAGGUUUGGACAGAUAAUACAAUCUUUCAGCUGAUUCCUGUGCUUAAGGAAACACCAGAAGCUGAUUGCCUUAGGGAGAUGGGAUUCUUCUGAUUAGUGAGUACAAAUUAGAAAUCAGUCCCAAACUGAGUGUCAAUUCAAUUCCAACCACAAUUCAGAAGUAUGAAUGUUGGAGAAAAAAACUCACAAUGACUUCUACAAAAACCAAAAAACUGAUCAUUUCCAUAAAUAGAUCAUAUACUUGCACUUAGGUUAAUUAAUAAUAACCUCAAUAAAUAAUGAUAUUGUGAGUAACAAAGAAUAAGCCUGAUGCAUGAAUAUUUAUUUAUUUUUAAUUUUAUUUUAGACUUGGGAGUACACGUGCAGAUUUGUUACAAGGGUAUAAUGUGUGACUUUGAGUUUGGGGUGUGAAUGAUCCCAUUACCACGGUAACGAGCAUAGAACCCUUGUCCCUUUCUUGGAGUUCCCAAUGUCUAUUGUUGCCAUCUUUAUGUCCAUGUGUGCCCAGUGUUUAGCUCCCACUUAUAAUUGAAAACAUGGAAUAUUAGGUUUUCUGUUUCUGCAUUAAUUUGCUAAGGAUAAUGUCCUCCAGCUGUAUCCAUGCUACUGCAAGGAUGUGAUUUCUUUCAUUUUUAUGGCUGUGUAGUAUUCCAUGGUGUAUAUGUACCACUUUUUCUUUAUCCAGUCUACCGUUUAUAGGUGCCUGAGUUGAUUCCCCUGAUAAGCAUGUGAGUGCAGCUGUCUUUUUAGUAGAAUGAUUUAUUUCCCUUUGGGUAUAUACCCAGUAAUGGGAUCACUGGGUCCAAUGGUAAUUUUGUAUUCAGUUCUUUGAUAAGUAUCCAAACUGCUUUCCAUAGUGGCUGAACUAAUUUGCAUUCCUACCAACAGUGAAUAAGUGUUCCCUUUUCUUCUCAACUUCACUAACACCUGUUACUUCUUGACUUUUUAAUAAUAGCCAAUUCAACUGUAUAAGAUGGUAUCUCAUUGUGGUUUUGAUUUGCAUUUCUGAUGACUAGUGAUGUUUAAAAUUUUUACAUAUAUUUGUUGGCCACGUGGGUGUCUUCUUUUGAGAAAUGUCUGUUAAUUUCCUUUGCCCACUCUUAAAUGGGAUUAUUUGUAUUUUGCUCAAUGAUUUAAGUCUGUAGAUUCUGG